rnacentral:rRNA from 1 species
GACGAACGCUGGCGGCGUGCUUAACACAUGCAAGUCGAACGGAAAGGCCCCUAGCUUGCUGGGGGUACUCGAGUGGCGAACGGGUGAGUAACACGUGGGUGAUCUGCCCUGCACUUCGGGAUAAGCUUGGGAAACUGGGUCUAAUACCGGAUAUGAACGGUCUUUGGUGUGAUUGUUGGAAAGAUUUUUUCGGUGUGGGAUGAGCUCGCGGCCUAUCAGCUUGUUGGUGGGGUAAUGGCCUACCAAGGCGUCGACGGGUGGCCGGCCUGAGAGUGUGUACGGCCACAUUGGGACUGAGAUACGGCCCAGACUCCUACGGGAGGCAGCAGUGGGGAAUAUUGCCCAAUGGGCGCAAGCCUGAUGCAGCGACGCCGCGUGGGGGAUGAAGGCCUUCGGGUUGUAAACUCCUUUCGCUAGGGACGAAGCGCAAGUGACGGUAGGUACAGAAGAAGCACCGGCCAACUACGUGCCAGCCGCCGCCGUAAGAC